rnacentral:lncRNA from 1 species
AACCACCACAAGAUAAACAGGAGAGAUACUUUGUGCAUUUUACAGAUUAAUGGUAACAAGUACAGAAUUCCAAGGAUCACUGCUAUGGUUUAAAUGUUCGUGUCUCAAAAAUUCCCAUGUUGGAACUUAAUACCCAAUGUGGUAGUAUUAAGAGGUGGGACUUUUGGGAAAGUGAUUAAGUCAUGAGGGCCCCACUCUGAGGAAUGGAUUAACGCUCUUACAAAAAAGUUGGUGAGCCCUAGUUCCUCUUUGCCCUUCCCUCUCUCCCACCAUGUGAGGACACAGCAUUCAUGCCCCUUCACCCUCCAUGGUGUGAGGAUGCACUAGAGGUGCCAUCUUGGAAGCAGAGAGCAGCCCUUACCAGACACUGGAUCUCUAGUGCCUUGACCUUGGACUUCCCAGCCUCCAGAAUCCAAAAAUCAGUUCCUAAUAUUUAUAAAUUACCCAGUCUAAGGUAUUUAGUUAUAGCAGCAUGAACAGGAUAAGAUAAUCACAAAUAUAUAUGUACACAUUUGGAUAUUUUGGAGACUUUUUACUAUACCCAAGCAAUGUGUUUGGAGAAAUUAGUGCUCUUGGAUUAUAUAAAUUCCCGUCACUCAUUUGUAACCCAUCUGUAGAGCAGUAAUAAUAAUACUCAGUGACAAUGAGGACCUCAUGAGUUUCCGUAAAAGGUUUUCUCCUCAUCAGUGGGCAGUAGCCCCCAGCCACCUCCUCUCUGCUGCCAACAGGGAUCUGAGUGCCUUUGCCCAGGCUCAGUGCUACUCAAUGCCUUAACUUUCUGUUUCCUUUCUAAAAGGUUGCUGCUUCUCUCCUGUUUAUGAUGACCCUGUCUCACCCAUCGCUGCCAUAGCAUUUUAUUACUGGCCCCACAGCUGAAGGGUGGCCGGGCAGAUGUAGGCCUCGGGUUUGCAAAGUUGCUUCCAUGAUGUUUCCUGCAUAAACCAUCUUGGAAGGACAACUGCCAAUGGUAGCAUAUUAUCAUGCCAGCGUUUUCCUGACUCUGAGCUGAAGAGUUCAAAAAACAAGAAAGAAAAGAAGAGAGAGAAAGGAAAAGGAUGCCAAAAAGCAGUAUCUUGCAAUGGACAUUUCCAGCUCCAUAAAUGAGGAGUUCAUGUAGAUAUUCUGGGAACUAUUGAAGUGGUCUGGGAUUAUCCCAUCUCCCCACCUCCACCCUGACUCCCCAAGACAUUUUUUUAAAACCAGGCUUCUGUUACUAAUUGUUCCUUCUUAACUCACCAUCCAGUGCUUUGAAGUAACUAUAUUAAGGCAACAGACAUACUGUAAGCAAAUGGCAGAGUACUGAAAUACGGAACCCAAAAUUAUUUUCAGCUUAAUACUAAUCUAUUUCACCCUUCACAAUCUCUGGAAUUUUGCUUUGACUGGGAAUCAAUGUUUGAUGAAAAAGUCUUCCCUUCUUAUGUUUGCAUCUAGCAAAGGUUAGGCCUUAAAUGCCCCUCCUUUUUUUCCACAGGACUUCAUGUGCAAGCGCUUUGCCUUAAUGAGUACUGCAGCAAAUGCACAGUGAGGGACUCUUACCCAAGGUGGGAACAGCAAGCAGUGGAUUGAAAGGGCUGGGACCCUGGACCCAGGCUUGUUCUUGGAUCACAGAAACCUAGAAUGAAAUCUGUGCUGCCUGCUACAACCUGUGGCUUUGGAUUUUCUCGAGGCCCCAGAGCGUCAGAGGAAGUUUUCCGAAUGGCACUCUGCGUGGGAAGGAGCUUGUGCACGUGCACGCUGCCACCAUCUGCCCUCAGCGCUGAUUCAGGAGGCGCUUCUCAACUAUAGCCCACAGUGUGACAACUGAACGUGUCCCCUCACGUUUCCAAAUACGGGGGGUGCAGGAGGCACUGCUCACUGUUGCACCCCCUGACCCACGCUGCCAGUCCUGCCCUCACUGCUGGGUGCUCACUGGGACCCUGGAAAGGUCUAGCUGAGCCUUUUAGGGCAUGAGGAUGUUGGGAGAAUAGAGGUGGCUCCUCUGAGAAGCCUGAGAAGUGUGAGUGUAUAAAUGCAGGCUGAGGUCGUGUCUCCCUGGGAUUGAAUUCACCCAACCUCACCCUCCGUGUAGCGCAAAUGCCCAGCUCCUCCAGGGAAGUGUUCAUGGCCAGAGUCCCAUGUUCCCUGCCAUCAGCAAGGCCCUGGCGCCAUUACUUACAGGAUAUGGCACCUCCCCCAACACCAGUGACCAUCAUCUCUCUCCUCCUCCUCCUUCUUUCCCCUCCUUCCUUCCCCUCCUCCUCCUCCUCCUCUUCUUCUUCACUAGAUACACUUGUUAUAUCUCCCAAUGGGACAAAAAUAGUCUCAUCAUUAUCAUGUGCCUCCUUCUCCUCCCUGUCUUCCUCAGAGGUUGAUACGUGAUUGACACGGUUUGGCUCUCCCUGAAAUGGUUUGGCUGUAUCCCCACCCAAAUCUUACCUUGAAUUAUAAUAAUCCCCAUGUAUCAAGGGUGGUACCAGGUGAAGGCAACUGAAUCAUGGGGGGCAAUUACCCCCAUGCUGCUGUUCUCGUGAUAAUGAGUGAGUUCUCAUGAGAUCUGAUGAUUUUAUAAGCGACAUUUCCCCCUUUGCUCAGCACUUCUCCUUCCUGCCACCAUGUGAAGAAGGACAUGUUUGCUUCCCCUUCCAUCAUGAUUGUAAGUUUCCUGAGGCCUCCCCAGCCCUGUAGACCUGUGAGUCAAUUGAACCUCUUUCCUUUAUAAAUUGCUCAGUCUUGGGCAGUUCUUUGUAGCAGCUUGAGAAUGGACUAAUACAGUGAUAAAAUAUAAAUUGGAAUUUUCAGUGUGCUCACACCAUAAGGAAGAGAACAGUGUCAUUUCUGGGUCAGAAAAUGUGACCACCAUAGAAUUUUCUCAUAUCUAGAACUGUCCGGUAUUUAUAGCUCAGGAUGCUGGUACAACUUUCUGAGAUAGAGAAUUAUAUCCUCACAUAGAAGCUGCUGUGUGGCCCUCCUUACCCUUGGUCACUCAUGGUUGGGUGAACGGACCCAAAGACAGAGACCAAAAAAUCAAAUUCUUGGAUUUUCAGUUCUGAAUAGACACUUGAAACUCAAAGGCCAUGGCCUUGUAAGCCCAGACUCUAAUUUGUAAAAGUUGAGGGUUUUCAGAGAAGAAAAGAACCAGGGCUCCCUGCCAGGUGUCGCACCCUGGGCCUCACGGAGGCCUCCUCUUUCAUCACAUGGCACAGUGACAUUUCUGCUGAAAACAGAAAAGGCUUCCUUCCUAGGACCUACCGUCUCUACUCUUCCACCUUUCUUUUCUCCAUUUCUUUCACCUGAAGGCUUCACCACCAAAGGUUGGAACAUUUUCCUGCUAUUUCAUUACACUUGAGAUUCCAGGCAAAGAAAUUCCGAGUUCAAACAGCAAGGUAAUGCCAUGAAUAAUAAAACGUGUCAAGCUUUUCUGGCAUAGGAACAAGAACGUGAUAUAGACACACACUACCUAAUAGAAGAGAAGGCCCAAUUUCAACCACAUAAAGGGUUCAAGAAGUUCUGUGUUGGUUCCUCCUUCACAUAAAAUAAACACUGGAGAUUCCAGGGACAGAAGAGCAGGGAGCUGCAGAUGCGCUGAGGAUUUCAUUGCCAUCUAGUGUAAAACCCCGCUAUGAACAUUACCAUCACUGAUUUUUACGUUAUUAAGAGAUGGGCCCUUUUAUUGCACUGGUGUCAUGAAAACAACAAAAUCCCACAUGAAGUUAGGCACAACUCAGGACUGCCCUUUUGCAGAACAUGGCUUUUUAGUUAUAGGAUUCUCCAAGGUGGUCUCACAAGUUUCUAAUGAAUUGGGUUGGGAAGCUACUGCUUUAGAAGGCAGAAGCAGUUUCAAGAGUGUGCUCUGGGUAUAAAAGUCAUGGGUGCAGAAGGAUAUCAGCCCCUUCCUAGGUAAUUCCAUCUCUGCUCACUAGUCCUGAGUCUGAGAAAUUGUCAUCAUAAAUUAGGCAGACAGGACUGCCAGAAGCCAAUCCAGAACAUGAAUUUAUAACCCAGGGCUAUUGUAUAGCUUCCUGUGACCUCUUACACGGAGCCUCCCUCUGUCUUCAGGAUCAGGCCAACCUUAGAAUCUCUGACUACUAGAGGCUUGACUUGCAGUGAAACCCGUCCUAAUUGAUGAAGAUCCUGUAUCGAGUUAGAGAAAUGGAAGAAACGACGCGGGGGUCUGGUUUGCCAGCCAACAGCUGUGGCUUAAAUCUGAGUCCUUUGGAAAGAAAGGAAGGCAUUCCUUUUAUUUCUAAUAUGGCUAAGGUGGAAGUUCUUCAUCUCUGUGUGCAUGCAGCUUAGUUCCUGCUCCUUCAGCCAAGCUAACGCGGAAGCCCUAGAGCAUCUGGACCAAGCAAGGAAGCCGGCAGGAGCCUCUGCACUGCCUAUGAAUUUGACCAACGGGACUUGGGGUAGUUUUACAUUUAGUAUCACAUCUCCUAACAUUCAUUCUUCCCUUCUUUCUUUAGCAACAGAACCCCUGAAAUUUACCUGGCUGUGUAGCUGCCCAAAAUAAAGACUUUCCUUUCCCACCACCCCUGCAGCUCCAUGUGGUGUGUGGGCAAAUCCUGGCUGAUGGGAUGUGGGUAGAAGAGACGUGUGCUCAGGAAGAUGGCCCACGCAGGGAAGGAGCAGGUCUUGCGCUCCUCUCCAUCCCACUUGCCAGAAAAUUGCUGCAGUGGACACUGUGGCACUAUAGGUUCUGUGGACGCCACGGGCAUGGUGGUGAGCACCUUCAGCUGCAUGGAAGAGGUGUCAUUUCAGGGCGGUUCUGCACACAAUCUGCCCUGCACACAGGAGCUACUGUAUGAACCUCGCUCCCAGUGUGUGAGGAGAGAAGGACAGAAAUUGGGUCAGCUUUGAUAAACUUUCAUAGUACCUUGAUAUUGCCUUGACCUUCAAGCACAUGAUCUGUGGACCCACCUCAAUAUAUUGACCAGGCCUGGGCAUGAGUCAGGCACUUUUUAAGCCCAAUAAAGCUACAUAGGGGUCUGAGAUCGAUUGGAAAUUUAAAUGAUACUAGAAAUAAUGACAGUCGUACUCCAGAUUGUGUGAGAAACACAUCUGUAAGGGACGGCAGAGUCACGGAGAAAAGGAGGCAGGGCCUGGGUACCAUGGAACCAGCCGAACAGCCCCACCACGAAUCCUCCUACCUUUAGAGAAGAGAGAAACUCUUCCCUGGUUUAAGCUGUCAUAUUUGGGGGCCCAUUUGUUUCUCAGCCUAAGCUGUACCCCGUCGGGUGUGCCUAUAUGUGAAUAGCGUGUGGGCUCAGCUGAUGGACCAGACAUUCCAUGUACUGGCGCAUAACAUUCUGACUCGCGUGCAGUAAGAACAAAAGGAAAUACAGCCCAAUUUGGUAAAAUUCUCUCACAGCCUGGAAAAGAGCAUCCCGAACAGUGGAGAGGAAGAGGGAGUGAGGCCCUGUGGACACAGCAGAGGAAUCCACAAUGGAUUUGCAGCAGGCUGGUGGAGGCAGAGCAGAGAAGGGCGGGAGAGGGCCAGCGAAGGCCUGGGAAGGUGGACCCACAAACUCGUCUCCUAAUGAAGCUAACCAGCAAUGCGAGGGCACACAGGGAGACCCCCUAGAGGCUGCCCCAGGCCAGGAGUCACCUGUGAACUGAGGUGGCCAAGGCAGGUUCUGUGGCAGAGGGUGAAUGCCUGCAGAUGAGAACCAGCCGCGGUGCCCAGAAAGGAACAGUGUGCGGGCCUGACGGGAGCCCCCAUCAAUACAACCAGCUCCUGCUCAGAACUCUCUUCAGGCAGACAAAUAGAAGAUAUGUUUCUACUUCCCCAGGCCUCAGCACCAUGACUAUUCUAGUCCCAGUGGAUACCCUGCUUCAGGUUUUAUGCAGCUGAGUUGAAAAAGAAUAACAGAAUAGGAGGAAAACAAGGGGAAGAAGGUAGGUGGGACGCCCCAAAUCAUCUUGAGUGCACUCCAUAAAAGAAAGAGGCAUUAAAGCAGCCCCCUCUCCUAUCUCAAGCCAUCCUUCAACUUAUAGGGACUUUGCACAUAGUUGCUGCAGGUUGGCCUGCCUCUGUCAGAGGUGUUUAAACCAGAUUGACUCUCUCUUGUAUAGGGGCUGGGUAAAAUGAGGCUGAGACCUACUGGGCUGCAUUCUCAGGAGAUUAGGCAUUCUAAGUCACAGGAUGAGAUAGGAGGUCGGCACAAGAUACAGAUCACAAAGACCUUGCUGAUAAAACAGGUUGCAGUAAAGAAGCCGGCCAAAACCCACCAAAACCAAGAUGGUGACGAGAGUGACUCUGGUCGUCCUCACUGCUACACUCCCAUCAGCGCCAUGACAGUUUACAGAUGCCAUAGCAACGUCUGGAAGUUACCUGUACGGUCUAUAAAGGGGAGGCAUGAAUAAUCCACCCCUUGUUUAGCAUAUCAUCAAGAAAUAACCAUAAAAAUGGGCAACCAGGAGCCCUUGGGGCUCCUCUGCCUAUGGAGUGGCCAUUCUUUUAUUCCUUUACUUUCUCAAUAAACUUGCUUUCACUUUAUUCUAUGGACUCGCCCCGAAUUCUUUCUUGUGAGAGAUCCAAGAACCCUCUAUUGGGGUGUGGAUCAGGACCCCUUUCCAGUAACACCCCUAUUGUGAGAAGAUGCCUUAAAUGGCUGGAGUUCUGGUGCUGAGCUGUGUUUUCACUCUGGGUAGUUUGUUGUUAGCUUUUUUAACAGCUUAAUUGAGAUAUAGGUAAGAUAUAGUUCACUAGUUAAGAUACAGUUCCGUUCUGGUGUUGCUGUAAAGGAAUACCUGAGGCUGGGAAACUUACAAGAAAAGAGGAUUGUUUGGCUCAUGGUUCUGCAGGCUGUACCAGAAGCAUGGCACCAGCAUCUGCUUCUGGUGAGGCCUCAGGAAGCUUCCAAUCAUGACAGAAGGCCAGGGGGAAGCAGGCAGAAGUGUUAG